ensembl:processed_transcript
GACAUGAGAUGCAGCACUAAACAGUCUCUCACUGUCGGCUGUCGGUGCGCGGCUCAUCUGUAGCCCGUUUACUCUCUGCGCUGUUUUCAUCUCCUGCGCUGUGCAUCACCUGACCGUCUCCAACACCUAGCGUCUUUCUCAAGUCCAACUCGGCCUGGAUCAUUUCUCGUGUGCGCAGCUUUUUUCCCAUAUCCAAGUAAUAAUCUUUAUAUCGUGGAUCAAGCACAGUCGCGAUGAAGUACAGGCGUUCUGAGUCCGCCUGACUAAAUUGUGUGCUGACAGCUUCUAAGAGCGCACUUUUAGCUGUUUUCACUCCGUGGUCUGUUUCAGCCUCUUUGUUUAAAAGGCGCUUUAGUGCUGCAAGUAAAUUGCACGCCUCUCACCCUACGCGGGUUACUAUUUGAUGCCGCCAUUAAAAACGUCGUUGUUCGGCAAAAUUUAUUCAGCCUUUUUACUUAUUCGGCAGA